rnacentral:lncRNA from 1 species
AAAAAAAAAAAAAGAAAAAAAGAAAAAAAAAUCCUGUCAUUUUCAGCACCAUGGCUGGAACCAGAAGUCGUUAUGUUUAGUGAAAUUAGCACAAAAAGUGAAAUGGGCACAAAAUUUAGUGAAAUGGGCACAAAAAGAUGACUAUUGCAGGUUCUCACUUAUAUAUGGGAGCUUAAAAAAACGUGGAUUUCAUGAAGAUAGAGAGUGAUUGGAGCUUACCAGAGGCCAGGAAGUGUAGAGGGAAGGGGGGAAAUGAAGAUUGAUUGAUUAAUGGGCACAAAUAUCAGUACAGUGACUACAGUUAAUAUUAAUCAAUUGUACAUUUCUAAAGAGCUAGGAGAGAACAAUUUGAAUGUUUCUAGAGUAAAGAAAAGACAAAUAUUUAAGGUGAUAAAUAAUUACCCAAAUUUGAUAUGAAUAUAUCAAAUUAUCACAUACACUGCAAAAACAUGUACAACUAUGUGUUAAUAAAAUAUAAAUCAAUUUAAAAAGAAAAAAUAUGUAUUUUGAUAAAAUGUGUAAUAUAUUUGGCAACUUUAAAUAGAGGGCUACACUGGUAAACCUGAAGGAAAGCAAAUUUACCAUGGAUUUUGUGACCUUUCCAUACCAUUUUGAUGGAUAAUUUGGGCCUUCUAAUCCAUAAGUUGAGAGAAGAACAUCAAUUACCUGUAGGCUCAUACAGAUCACUCACCUUGCCCAGGACGCUGCCUCCAAACAGGUAAGAAACAUAUAUCACAGAAGGGCAUGAUUACUGGCAUUAACAUCAGCCAAUGGCCAGGAACUUGAUCCAACAUAUCCUGGCUAUUCUCUUCCUACUCUAAUGAACACCUUCCUACUUAUUCAUCCUUCAAGGUUGAAAUCAAUGUCACCUUCUUUGGAAAGCUUUCCCAAGCCUAAUUAAUUACUUUCUCCUUUAUGCUUUUAAAGCACUUCUACCUAUAUCUGUAAAAUAACUUAAUCCAGUAGCUUUCCCCUUAUCUGUAGUUUCACUUUCCACAGUUUCAGUUACCUGUGGUCAGUCAUUGUUCAAAAAUAUUAAAUGAGGAAUUCCAGAAAUAAACAAUUCAUAAGUGUUAAGUGCUAUCUUAUGAUGCCUGUGACAUUCACCUCACUUCAUCUCAUUACAUCAGCAUUUUAUCUUCUCCAAUCAUCACAAGGAAAAGGGUGAGUACAGUACAAUAAAAUAUUUGGAGAGAGGCCACAUUCACAUAGUAUGCAGGAUUGUUAUAAUUAUUCUGUUUUAUUAUUAGUUACUGUUGGUUAUCUCUUACUCUGCCUAAUUUGUAAAUUAAACUUUAUCAUAGGUAUGUACAUAUAGGAAGAAAACAUAGUAUAUUUAGGGGUUGGUACUAUCUGCGGUUUCAGGCAUCCACUGGGGGUCUUGGAAUGUAUGCCCCAUUGAUAAGAAGGAACUGCUUUAUUUAUAUCUCUGCAUGAUCUCUAACUGCCUGAGACUCAGAGACAAAGUCUAGUUUUCUGUACAAGUCUACCUUCUAGCAUAGUUUUUGGCACUUGUGACUUUUCCCUUUCAUUAUAAUCAUAGUACUUCAUCUUAUGGUACACAUAUUCUCUCAUCUUUUAAAGUUUUUCUAAUUUUCAUUUCUGUGAAACCUGCAAAGAAGUGUAAAAGAUCACAUGAUCAAGGACACAGUGAAUAGACAGCCAGCUUCCCAUGCCUCUUGAAAUCUUUUAGAGAGAAGUGAGAAAUUUGGUAAGUCAGAGAAACCUAGAUUCCCAGUCGCAAGUCUUUUAUAGAAUUAGGCAGUAUGGGGAUCACUGCUCUCAGGUGCAGGCUAUUACUAUGUGAUCCUUGCUGUGUCUAAAUUCCAUCCUUCCAUAGUCAGUUUCCUAUUUCAUCUAGCUUACAGCAGGCCUACCAUCACUUACUAUAUUACAUAGGUUCUAGCAUGCAUACCAAAUACUUGUAUUUUGGCUUCAGUUUUCACUUCUUUCCAGUUGUCUAAUUUGAUGGUUCAGUAAUUUCUUACUCCUCUACACCUUAAACAAGUCACAGCAUGCCCUUCUAAUAUUCCCAUAGUGCAAUUCCUAUGCUUUACCCAACUCAUCAGCCUUUCUCCAAAGCUUUGUUGAAGCUUCACUUGGUCCUGGUUUAAAUAUGUAUUGCUGAAGCAGAAUGCUUUGACCCUACUAGGUACUCACACUCACUCAAAUACCCUUUGCUCCAAUAAAUAAAUAGGCCCAACUUUUUUGUCUCAAAUUCAUAACAAAUAUUCUGAUAGAAAUAACAAACAAGAAAAUAAAACUUACAAUGGCUGAAUUUUACCUGGAGAGGACAGUAAAGAAUCAUGACGUCUUUGUGAAAACAACAGUGGCCCAGGGAAAAUCAGAUCUUAGUAAAAGUAAUGAACACAAAAUAGAACUUACACCAACUAAAACAGUAACAAGGUGUCAUUUGUUGUGGAACACAAAUUGACAGAAGAAUCAAAGCUUGGUACUAUUUAGAUCAUGUACAGUGAAAUUUCAUAUAAUUAAUGGCCAAACGUACACAUUUAUAAUGGUAGAAUUGUAGUUGAUAAUUCUUGUCUAUAAUUGAUAAAACUUGAUAUGGGCAAAAAGUUUUCCAUGAAUCAAACCCCUAUUUAAUUUACAGAAAAAUGAUAGCAUUGGAGCAUUUUAGAAAGAUAAAAAUGAAGGUGAACAAAAAGUGAAAAUGGUUCAAGUGCAUUGAAUAGACAAUUCAUCUAGUAGUUAAAUUCAUUUAAUGAAAUUCACUCUGGAAUAUACCUUUUCCACAAAAAUUCAUCUAUGUCAGUAUACUUAUUGAAACACUUGUAAUUUUAAGCAUGGGGUCAAAACAUCUCCAUGUCAAAAUAGCUGGAUCAAAAUGCUGUUUGCCCAUUUCAUGCCAGAAGUUCCUCCAUUAUAACCACUGAUGCUUCCCUUAGAAGUCUGUAUGUAAAUGAUUUGGGACUUCACUGGGCCAUAUGUCACCAUUAAUAACAGAAAGUGUUUGUGGGUUUGCUUUUCUUCUUUAGAAAAUGAAGAGAUUGUUUUUAUGGAUAAUGGUAUUUAGGGAUUUUUUUUUCUAUUGUUUAAAUUAAUAGUCAAUAUAUUUUAAAGGAUUAGGUGUUGGGGAGGAAAUAACAGGAAAAUUAAGUUUACUCUGCCAAACAGGCAUUAUCCCUGAGAAGUAGUUCCUUCUUAUUCUGCACUAUAAAUCCUUUUAUCACCAUGUAUAUUUCUACAGGGGCUACUGCUAUCUUGCUUUGGUAGUUACAGUAAAUCAAGAUAAAGACACCAGUCUGCUUGGACUUGUGGAGAGGUAGCAAACAGGUAUGGAAGACCUGGAAUCGACUUCAGAAAUGCUCACGAUGCUUGGGUACCCUGAUGUGGUACUACCUAGCCUACUUGGGUCAAAUGACUUUUGCAAAAUUCUAUAAGAUACUUAGCAUUCUCCUGUGGCAAUUAUUUGUUAACAAAAUGCUGGAAGGAAGAGCUCUAAAGAUUUUCUUAAAUAUAUCUGUCCCAGGGAUAUCAAAUGUUUAGGAGAAAUAGUGUAGUAACAGAGGUAAGCUAUCAAUUUAAUUUCACUUGACAUCUAAUCUAGUUGUGUUACCAUGAUGUUCCCUGACUACGUAGGGCUUCUGCCUGCCAUUGGACACUAAAUAAUUAAGAAUUAGUUUCUUGGGUUGUUGAUUAUAUCAGAAAGUCCCAGGUUAUAAACGGGAUUAAACAGUGAACACACUAAAGGUAUAAAGUUAUUUAUUCAGUAUAUUUAUAAGGCCUCAACAUAAUUUAUAGAAUUUACAUUUAGCUAUGUAUUUAUCCAAGAGAGAUUUGUUAAGCUACAUUUCAGAAAGAUUUACUAACUAUAUGUGUACAUCAAAUUCAAAGUAGGCUUAUACAUUUGAGCUUUAUAUUGGACAGAAUUAUUCUAAUGACAUAGUAAGCUAGACAAUUGAGUUCUCCUAUAGAAAACUUAUACUUUUUUAAACUACCAAUAACCAUUACCCUAUUAAAAAUGGCUUCACAAAUAUGACAGUACAGGAGAAGACUCAUAGGAGAACUUCUCAGUGGGUAGACUGGCCAUUCUGAUCUGAGUGCAAAUAACACCAAGGCAGAGUUUACUUAAGCUUAUGUCUAUAAAAUUUAAGUGUUGAAGUGGGAAGAUAUUAAUUUAUAUGCAUGGCCUGUUAAAUGGCUAGUUUAGAGCUAUCAAAUAAUCUUGUAUAUGAUGUUAUACUAUGUUAUUCUUUGUGAAAAGGUAAUAAGGACAGUGUAAAUUUCAGGGCUACUUCCUACUCAUACCUUGUUGAUAAAAAUGUAGAUUGGUUGAAUACUUCGAAGAGCAGUUUGGCAAUAUUGAAUAUGAGCUGUAAAAAUACAUAACCAUUGUAACAUGAAGACCUUAUGUAAAUUAACAAGAAAAACUCAUCUGCAGUAAGCCUUAUCGAACCCCUUGCCUGGGCUAAAUGCUCUAUUCCAAAUAAAUAAAUAAAUAGUUUGUAAUUAGAGGAGGGUUUUUAUGUUCAAUUGUGAGAUCAAUCUUUAAGAAAUUUUAAGGAUUUAAUAGUCUUAUAUAAUUAGAGCUUGAAGUUAAAGGGAAAAGAUGUUAAAUGAGGUGAAAGUGAGCAGAAAGAAAUCUUCUGCAUAUAGAGGUAACAUCUCAAUCAGAAGAAAGAAGGUUAAAAAAAGACCCGCAUCAGUUAGGAAGUGGUAAUUACACUAAUAUUUCAUUAUUAACUUCAAUCGUAAUUGAUUGACUUUUUUGACUUACUGUUGUGAUGAAAUGGCAACAGAGUAGAUUAUUAACUUUCAGACAGAAAUAUUAAUUUUCCCUUUGAUCAAUAGCUUAAGAUAGAGAUAAAAUAAAAUGAAUAAGGAGAAUUAUGCUUGUUCGUGUUAAAAAUUUACUAACCAGCAAAGGCAUGAGAAUGAUAUAAUGGACUUUGGGGACUUGGGGAGAAGGGUGGGAGCGGGAUGAGGGAUAAAAGACCACAUAUUGGGUACAGUGUACACUGCUUGGGUGACAGGUGCACUAAAAUCUCAGAAAUCACCACUAAAGAACUUAUUAUCCACGUAACCAAAGACCAUCUGUACCACAAAAACUAAUGAAAUACAAAAAAAAUUUAUGAGCCAAAGGGAAAUAUCAGUGUGUGGCUAUAUUCUAAGUACAUCCAGUUUAAAGUAAUGAAUAUCGUUUCUCAUCUGACCCAUUUAAAGCUGGGCUUCCAUGUGCCACUGUGUAUCAAUAAAGGCAUCUAUGAAAGAGCACGGGGGAGGAAGUCAGAAUCUCUAAAAACUAGCUACUCAUUCUCAUGUACAAGUUAGAUUAUUUGGGGAUUUGAUUUUUCUAUCCAUUGUGUAGUCAUACCAUUUAUGUUUUAGAUAUUAAUAAGCAAAACUUUGGACAUACCAGGACACUCAUAGAUGAUUUAAACUUUGUAAUUUAUGUUACCCAUUUGACCCCCAUUCAAAGACUCACUAAUGAACUUUUAACCCUUAACUUUUCUUGGCAAGAGCAUUAUAUUUAAACUGGAAAUGCAUAGAAAUCAUCAUUGGAACAUUUAUAAGGAUCAUUCCUACUGUAAUUCGCUAACAACUCACUACUAGGUGGAUUGCUUUUUGUUCAGUUUUGCUCUUUUCUGGUUUACUUCCAACCUGUUUACUGAGACUGUCUUGGUAAUGCAAAUCUUUCUUCUUUGUUAGUCCACAGACAGUUUGCUCAUUUCGGAAGAAAGCUCCUGACUGAGGUUCUUUAGAUGCGUUUAACGGAGGGACAGCUGUGCAGAAGCAUCACUGUCUCACUCUUUUCCAGACUGAUCAAAUGAAGCGUCUGUCAUGUCACACAUAUGGAGUUCUCUACCAACAGCAAAGGCUAUUUAGUCAAGUUCUACAGAUCAAAAGUCUAACACUGGUGUUAUUGGGCUGAAAUCCAGGCGAUGGCAGAGCUGCGCUCCUUUCUGGAGGCUCCGGGGAGAAUUCUCUUCCUUAACCUUUCAAGCUUCUCGAGGCCCUCUGCACUCCCUGGAGACAGGAGGAGAGAAGAAUCAUGGACUCCCUGGGCACAGCACCGCAGGUGGCUUUGCCAGUUCUCCCAGCCCCGCGCUGCUCCUGCGCCUGCGCUGAGCCUCCACGUGUCCUCAGGAGACUUAGCCUAGCCUGGGUAUCACCAGCAGUGGGCCAGGCCGCUUUGCCUUCAACUCCCAACAGUAACCUUGCAGAGGUCAGCCUGGGGCCACCAGGAGGAGUUAGUAAGAGCUUAUCCUGUGGGGGCACUCACUGGGGCUGGUGGCCGGGAAAUCCCAGGUGUUUUGUUGGUUUGAGUUUUGU